rnacentral:rRNA from 1 species
AUGGCUAGGGGUUUGAAGAAGCAUCUGAAGAGGCUCAAUGCCCCGUCUCACUGGAUGCUUGACAAGCUUGGUGGAGCUUUUGCCCCCAAGCCAUCAUCUGGUCCUCACAAGGCCAGGGAGUGCCUGCCUCUGAUCCUCAUCCUGAGGAACAGACUGAAAUAUGCUCUCACCUACCGUGAAGUGCAAUCUAUCCUUAUGCAGCGUCAUAUCAUGGUUGAUGGAAAGGUCCGCACUGACAAGACCUACCCUGCUGGGUUCAUGGACAUCAUUUCCAUUCCCAAGACUGGUGAGAACUACAGGCUUCUUUAUGACACCAAGGGUCGCUUCCGCCUUCACUCUGUCAGGGAUGAGGAUGCUAAGUUCAAGCUCUGCAAGGUCAGGUCUGUCCAGUUCGGCCAGAAGGGCAUCCCCUACCUGAACACCUAUGAUGGCCGCACCAUCCGCUACCCAGACCCACUCAUCAAGGCCAAUGACACCAUCAAGCUCGACCUGGAGACCAACAAGAUUGUUGACUUCAUCAAGUUUGACGUCGGCAAUGUGGUCAUGGUUACUGGUGGGCGCAACACUGGGCGUGUUGGUGUGAUCAAGAACAGGGAGAAGCAUAAGGGAACCUUCGAGACCAUCCACGUUGAGGAUGCGCAGGGCCACCAGUUUGCCACCCGUCUGGGCAACGUGUUCACCAUCGGCAAGGGCACCAAGCCGUGGGUGAGCCUCCCCAAGGGCAAGGGUAUCAAGCUCACCAUCAUUGAGGAGCAGAGGAAGCGGGAUGCCGCUGCCCAGGCUGCUGCCAAGGCCUGA